rnacentral:tRNA from 1 species
GCCCCUGUAGCUCAAUAGGUUAGAGCCGACGACUCAUAAUCGUCUGGUUGCCGGUUCGAGCCCGGCCGGGGGCA